AUUCCAGCUCCAAUAGCGUAUGUUAAAGUUGUUGCGGCUAAAAAGCUCGUAGUUGGAUUUCUGUUGAGGACAUCUGGUCCGCUCUACGAGCGUGUAUCUAGUUUGGCCUCGGCAUCCGCUCUGCAUACGUUUCUGCGCUUGAUUGCGUGGAGCGGAGGUAGGGCCUUUUACUUUGAGGAAAUUAGAGUGUUCACGGCAGGCAGUCGCCCUGAAUAUAUUAGCAUGGAAUAAUAACAUAGGAUCUUGGUUCUAUUUUGUUGGUUUCUAGGACUAAGAUAAUGAUUAAUAGGGACAAUUGGGGGCAUUCGUAUUGCGGUGUCAGAGGUGGAAUUCUUAGAUUACUGCACGACGAGCUACUGCGAAAGCAUUUGCCAAGGAUGUUUUCAUUA
rnacentral:rRNA from 1 species